AUGGAAGUUUUGGUCAUCACUCCCGACUGGACAGUGCCGUACAUCGCGUAUAUCCUAAGGAAAGAGCUCCCAGAGAAUGAAGAAGAGGCUCGACAGAUCGUCCGUCGAUCCAAGGCCUUUACUGUGAUAAAGGGACAGUUGUACAGGGAAAGCGCGACUGGAGUCGGUCAGAAAUGUAUAACACCAGAAGAAGGUCAGAUAAUUCUUGACGAUAUCCACUCAGGGACCUGUGGUCAUCAUGUGUCCUCUCGAACCAUUGUGGCUAAAGCAUACCGAGCGGGGUUUUACUGGCCAAGAGCAAAUAAAAUGGCGAAGGAGAUAGUCGACAAGUGUGAAGGAUGUCAGUUCUAUUCCAAUAUGUCACACAAACCCGCCUCAGCCUUGAAGACCAUUCCACUCGUCUGGCCCUUCGCUGUUUGGGGAUUAGAUAUGGUUGGACCACUGAGAACUGGCAGGAGCGGCUUCACCCAUGUACUGGUGGUAGUCGACAAGUUCACUAAGUGGAUUGAAGCUAAGCCUAUCAAGAAUCUUGAUGCCUGCAUUGCUAUCACCUUCAUCAGAGAGUUGAUAUUCAGAUAUGGAGUUCCGCACAUCAUCAUCACUGAUAAUGGGUCAAACUUCGAUUCCGACACAUUCAGAGCCUUUUGCGCUUCUCAAGGCACGCGGGUCGACUACGCUUCCAUCGCUCACCCCCAGUCGAAUGGACAAGCAGAAAGAGCAAACGGACUAAUUCUCAAAGGACUGAAACCCCGGUUGAUGCGUGAUCUCAAGCACGCAGCAGGCGCGUGGGUCGGCGAACUUCCUUCAGUUCUUUCGGGAUUGAGGACCACUCCUAAUCGGUAA
rnacentral:rRNA from 1 species